ensembl:lncRNA
GAACAACUUACUCGUAUCAGUCUGAAGCUGCGUGUUAAAUCAUUUACCUUUAUGACAAACUGCACAAAGUACAAGCUGUUACAUUCAGGAUUCUACUGAGGCUUCGUGCUACUUCCUCAACCCCAUGGCUCAUACCUGCUGUGCAAAGGAUUGUGGGUAAGAACAGGCAGUAAAGAAGCCUGCUUGCAUACAGUAAAAUGUGCCUGAAUGUGACUAAGUGUUUUCAUCUUAAAGUUCCUCCCUUUGUCCCAUUUCGGUUAUUGUUGUUAAAUAUAUUUGCGUGUGGUGGGUUGCAGAUAUUUUAGGGGGCAGGUGCUCAAACCAAAACAAAAGGGGGCUCUUUUGUUUUGGCAAAUUACUCAAAAUUUGAGAGCGCAAAUCAGGUUGAUGCGAGCGAGCAGGAAGGUGAACUUCGUCGCUCGCUGUUCUUUCUGAAUGAAUCCUUCACACGCUCAGCGCGCAGCGACGUGUCCUUGACGCCAGUCGGCUGGCGGUCGUUGUUGAACUUUGACCUCUGUGAGGUCAUCCAGCGCACACAGCAAUGGAGGACGUGUCGUCAUUCAGGAACCUGUGUGUGUCUGUGUGUGUGUGUGUGUGUCUCUGUGUGUGUGUGUGUGUGUGUGUGUGUCUGUGUGUGUGUGUGUCAGUGUGUGUGUGUGUGUGUGUCUGUGGGUGUGUGUGUGUGUGUGCGUGUGUCUCUGUGUGUGUGUGUGUGUGUGUGUGUCUGUGUGUCUCCUCCCCCAUGUCUUUGCUUCCAGUCUGUUCUUCACAGGUGUGGUGAGUUGCUGCUGACGAUGUGGGCGUGGCUAGCUGUUCCUCCAGCCAAUCCAGCUCUGCUCUAUAAAAUGUCUGUGUGUGUGUACUUACCCCAGGAGCGCUGUGGAGCAGGACCAGGUCAGAUACCCUGGGGCCU